UGCCAAGUGCUAGUUAGAGAUUGAGGACAU
rnacentral:piRNA from 1 species